rnacentral:lncRNA from 1 species
CCACUUAUUUGGGGAAAGUUGCUUCCCCUCUCUGAACCUGUUUCCUCACUGUAAAUUCAGAUUCAUCCUUUAUUGAGCACCUACUAUGUGCCAGGCAUUGGGUUGAGUGCUGGGGAUAAAGUAAUGAGCAAGCCCUUAUCUUGAUGAACAGUUACGGAAUAAAAUAGACCUGCAAAAAUAAACACGCAAUUCACAACUGAGGAGACGCCACAUAUGACCUGGUACACACAUCUAUCUUUGUCUUCUGAGAUGGCGAAAGAUAUCCUGGGACCUGAGCCCAACCCACCCACAGGACCUUUUUCCCAGUCCCAGGGGCCAUAGCCAGGUGCUAUGACAAGCUCCAAAGAGAUGCUUCUCCCACUUUCUCCCCAUCCCCACUCCUAACAAUGACCAGACAGAGGGGGCCUCCUGGGCCUGAGCGGGGCUGGGCAGCCUCAGUUCUUGGUGCGAAGGACCUGCUCGUGGGUGGACACCACCUUGCCAUCGUGCACAUCCAUGAUCUUGGUGUGGAUUUGGUGGCUGGAGGAGGUCACUGGGGAAGAGGCGGAAAGAGGACAUUACCAGAGGUGGACAGACAAUGGACUAAUCAGGAGUAAGGAGGCCAAGAAGGUGAGGAAACUCAAACUGUCUCCCAGUUGCCCUCUCCCCUGAUUACUGCUUCACUCCCUGCUGUUGCCCAAGCACUGAUACCGUCAACACAUUUCUUUCAGACUAGGGCUCCCAAAGGUCAGAGACAGAGUCUUUGUCUUCAGAUUAGAGCUUCCUAAGAGCUCACACCCAGCUGGUUCCGUCCAUAUUCACCCAAUGGAGUGGUCUCGGUGGGAGGAGCCCUGCAGGGCCCUGUUCAUGGUGCUGAGCACCACAGCAAUAGGAUCUGCCACAGACACCCGGUAGAAGUAAGAGGCGGCGGUAGGUGGCGAUCUCCUGUUCCAGCCGCAUCUUCACG